rnacentral:rRNA from 1 species
UUUUCUGGCUCAGGAUGAACGCUGGCGGCGUGCCUAACACAUGCAAGUCGAACGAAGCUUGACGGAUGAUUUCUUCGGAAUGAAACCAGAUAUGACUUAGUGGCGGACGGGUGAGUAACACGUGAGCAACCUGCCUUUCAGAGGGGGAUAACGGCUGGAAACGGUCGCUAAUACCGCAUGAUGUGUUCGGAUGGCAUCAUCUGAACAUCAAAGAUUUAUCGCUGAAAGAUGGGCUCGCGUCUGAUUAGAUAGUUGGUGGGGUAACGGCCUACCAAGUCAACGAUCAGUAGCCGGACUGAGAGGUUGAACGGCCACAUUGGGACUGAGAUACGGCCCAGACUCCUACGGGAGGCAGCAGUGGGGAAUAUUGCACAAUGGGGGAAACCCUGAUGCAGCAACGCCGCGUGAAGGAUGACGGUUUUCGGAUUGUAAACUUCUUUUCUUAGUGACGAAGACAGUGACGGUAGCUAAGGAAUAAGCAUCGGCUAACUACGUGCCAGCAGCCGCGGUAAUACGUAGGAUGCAAGCGUUAUCCGGAUUUACUGGGUGUAAAGGGAGCGCAGGCGGGGCUGCAAGUUGGAUGUGAAAUACCGUGGCUUAACCACGGAACUGCAUCCAAAACUGUAGUUCUUGAGUGAAGUAGAGGCAAGCGGAAUUCCGAGUGUAGCGGUGAAAUGCGUAGAUAUUCGGAGGAACACCAGUGGCGAAGGCGGCUUGCUGGGCUUUAACUGACGCUGAGGCUCGAAAGUGUGGGGAGCAAACAGGAUUAGAUACCCUGGUAGUCCACACUGUAAACGAUGAUAGCUAGGUGUGGGGGGUCUGACCCCUUCCGUGCCGGAGUUAACGCAAUAAGCUAUCCACCUGGGGAGUACGACCGCAAGGUUGCAACUCAAAUGAAUUGACGG